rnacentral:lncRNA from 12 species
CAGAGCUGUUUUGCACCAGCUUUCCCUGAGCAGAAGCACUCGGGCCAAGCAGUGCAGAAAUUUUAGAAAGGUGGUUCCCAGCAACAGAACUAGGGGAAAGCCACUGCUUUGGGUCAAAGUGCUUUCACUCCACGGGCUCAGCCCAGCCUCUCGCUGGCUCUGGGCGCUUUCAUGUCUCUCCCCACGCUUUCAGCCCCUGGACGGGGAUGUUUUGUGGGUGGCUGGGUGAGUUUCCCGGCGCAGCCGCGGGGGCCGAUGCCUCUCCCGGCGGCAGAGAGCAGCUCGCCACCGGCUCUCUCCCCGCGCUUGGCAGCGCUCCCGGCCGCCUUUCACUGCCGCCUUUUCAUUCGCCUUAAUUCACUGCGUUUCCUUUCUUGCUCCUUGCGAGGAACAGAGGGAGAGCUUGUUCCAGCAGACGGGCCCCAUCCGCCCCACCCGGCUGGGCUGGAAAAGCGGGAUGCGGGCGAAGGGGGGAUCUCCCACCCCUGCGGGGCCCCCGCGCCGCUUCCCAGCAAAUACGGUACAAGCGCUCAGCCUAAAAAUGUGAGUCUGAUCUCAUGACACAGGGUGGCCCUGCAUUCCUCACCUCUGACAUAACCCGCUGGGAGUGUGCUCCGCGCAAAAACACAAACAAGAUGUCCUGGCGGGCUGGCGGCGGGGGCCGGGCAGCUGGCAGAUGUUCGCGGAGCCCCCCGGCUGCAGGGCUCCGGCACAGGCUGUACCCGGGCGGGGAGGGCACGGCCACGGCCGGGCUGCCAGCACAGAGCUGCUGGGGCUGUGGGGGUGCCCGGCCUCUCCCCCAGCCCUGGGGAAGGUAACGUGCUCUGGUUCUGCAUCACCCGCGGAGGCAGCUGGACCUCUUCCCAAAAUCUCCCCCCGGGGUUUUUUUUGGCCGAUGCCCGAGGGCGUUUGUAAGGACUUUGCGGUGCUUUUGCAGGAGGCUGCUGGUUGUUGUUGUUAUUUUUUUUUUUUAGGGUUUUUUUUUUUCCUUGUUUCUUGUUUCUUUCGAGUGUCCCUGGGCAAGCUCUUCUCUGGCUCUGCCAUGCCCAUGGUCUUGUGCCCCCCUCCCGCAGCAGCUCCAUAGCGAUUCCGAGUCCCUGUUUGCUCUGUCCUGCCCCACAGAGCUUGGCACCCGAAGCCUGGGGUGCUGUGGGCGGUGAUUCCUCCCUGCCCCCAGACACAGCCCUGGGAUGGGAUGCUUUGCCGAGGAUCACGUGGAGAAUCCGAGUCCCGCUGCAGUAAACACGAAGCUGACUUUGCUCCCAGCCAAACCCUCCUUCAAAGCACAGCCUUGUCUAGAGCAGGAGCAGACCCUGCUCUCCCCUCUGUCCCAGCCACACUGCACCACUUGUUUACUUUCUUCUGCAAAUGCCCUAAACCUUGACAACGACCUAUUUUCCCUUCUGUUACGCAAAGCUCCUUUCCUAGAAAGAGGCUUUGUAAUGCUCGGUCCAACCAGCCCAGCUCUCCUCCAUGUGUGUAAAAGCAAACUGUAAGAGCCUGGCAGGUUCAGCUCGGCUCCAGCAGAUCCAAAACCCACACAGGGAUGAGUCAGGAGGCUCGGGCAGAUGUUACCUGAAACCAUCCUGCGAGACAGCUGGCCUCGUUUUUUGGAGGAAUCAGAUAAGCAGUAAGGCAGCCUUCAAGUCCACUCCUCAAACUUUGCUGUUUAUUAGUGCUUUUCAUCCA